CAAGUAAAUUAGCACACAACUGAGAUAGAGAUUGGUCCUUGACGUGAAGAAAGCUCUAAUUUUCAUUUUACCUCUUAAUAAUUCUAUCAGAAUGCAAAAGUCAUGUGGAUCAACUUUCUCAACUAGAACAAAAUAUAUCUUUAUAUCUUUGUAGUGAUUAAGGAGAAUUAAAAGUUGAAUGAAAGCAUGAAAGUUGGGGAACCUUCAUGCCGUCAGCAACCAAAGAGGGAAUUAAAUAUGGGUGAUGUUGAGAAAGGCAAGAAGAUUUUUGUUCAGAAGUGUGCCCAAUGCCACACUGUGGAAAAGGGAGGCAAGCACAAGACUGGGCCAAAUCUCCACGGUCUCUUUGGGAGAAAGACAGGUCAGGCUGCUGGAUUCUCUUACACAGACGCCAAUAAGAACAAAGGCAUUACCUGGGGAGAGGACACACUGAUGGAGUAUUUGGAGAAUCCCAAGAAGUACAUCCCUGGAACAAAAAUGAUCUUCGCCGGCAUUAAGAAGGGAGAAAGGGCAGACUUGAUAGCUUAUCUCAAAAAAGCCACUAAUGAGUAAUAAUUGGCCCCUGCCUUAUUUAUUACAAACCAGAAAUAUCUCGUAACUUUUUUUAUGUGUACCAUAAUUUGAUUGGUCUCAUACUGGUCUCAUUCUGGUCUCACACCAGAAUUCAGAUCAUGAAAGAGUGACAAGAAUAUUUUUGUUGGACAGUCCUGAUUUAACUAAGACUGGCUUGUGGUUAAUUCGGUUUUUUGAACUUUGAUAGUAAUUCCAAUACAGUAAAUGCUAUCACUGUUUCCCCCCUUCUUAAGACAUGAUUGGAUUAAUUAGUAGUGUUCAACUUUUCACAAGGAUGGUAAAUUGCCAUUUCAAAACCUGUUGAAGAUUGCUUUUAUAUUUAGAUUUACAUAACUGGUUAUGUGAAUAUAUUUAAAUACUAGGGAAAUCCCUUCACUGUUUUGGAACCAAGCAAGACUCACUGGUGUUUCAAUUUGUGUUUAUUAGCCUGUUAAAGGCGAGGGCUAGAGAUAAGGUAGCAAUGUUUACUUUAUAUAUUUUUGGUUUUCACUAUGCCAAUCCAAUUUCCCUAUGUCUACUAAAAUGCUGCCUUUUAUUUAUUGAAAGGCAUUUUAGUGUGGUUUAUGUGUAAUAUCAAAUAAAGAAUAUUUAACACUUCUCACA